AUGGCUCCUACCGAGGCUGAGGCUGAUGUAGAGGAGGGAGAAGAGAAGAAGAAGAGGGAAAGGAAAGCAGCCGGAGCUGCUUUCACGUGGAUUCAAAAUAACUUUGCGACGUGCCCUCCGAAUGCCACUGAUGAUGUGAUCCAGACACAUGCUCGUGUGUAUAUGUGGUACGUUGUGUCGAGGACUUUGUUUCCUGACUCCACUGGCAAGAACGCUCCAUGGAUGUGGCUGAAGGCAUUGACCGUCUUCGAUAGCAAAUGGAGCUGGGGUUCAGCGACUCUUGCCUACUUGUACCGAUAG
rnacentral:rRNA from 1 species